AAUAGGAACACUUUUACACUGUUGGUGGGACUGUAAACUAGUUCAACCAUUGUGGAAGUCAGUGUGGCGAUUCCUCAGGGAUCUAGAACUGGAAAUACAUUUGACCCAGCCAUCCCAUUACUGGGUAUGUACCCAAAGGACUAUAAAUCAUGCUGCUAUAAAGUCACAUGCACACGUAUGUUUAUUGUGGCAUUAUUCACAAUAGCAAAGACUUGGAACCAACCCAAAUGUCCAACAAUGAUAGACUGGAUUAAGAAAAUGUGGCACAUAUACACCAUGGAAUACUAUGCAGCCAUAAAAAAUGAUGAGUUCAUGUCCUUUGCAGGGACAUGGAUGAAAUUGGAAAACAUCAUUCUCAGUAAACUAUCGCAAGAACAAAAAACCAGACACCGCAUAUUCUCACUCAUAGGUGGGAAUUGAACAAUGAGAUCACAUGGACACAGGAAGGGGAAUAUCACACUCUGGGGACUGUUGUGGGGUGAGGGGAGGGGGGAGGGAUAGCAUUGGGAGAUAUACCUAAUGCUAGAUGACGAGUUAGUGGGUGUAAUGCACCAGCAUGGCACAUGUAUACAUAUGUAACUAACCUGCACAAUGUGCACAUGUAGAGUAUAAUAAAAAAAAAAGGCAAAACCAUAUUAGAAAAACAGAAAAGAAAAAGAAAAAAAAAAAAAAAGACUUAAAAUCUCUCUUGGGGCCAGAUACAGAAAGCAUUUUCCUCACCUGUUUUCUUUUCAAAACAGUAGAAAAACUGUUUUUAAAGAAGGGCAAUUAAAGUAGACUAGCCCUGAAUGAUUUUUCUAAUUGUUACAGAAAAUCUGAUGGUUUUCUUACCUUGAAGUCAUGUGUACUAGGUCUUCCAAUUCUCUCUGAAGGGGAAGCCACAUGGCUUCCUAGAUCCUUAAGAAAGGAUAACCCUUAUUGAUAAGCCUCUGUUUAUGACAUGACUUGCCCAGGGUCACACAGAAAGGCAGCAGUAGAGACAAAAAUUACAUACAGAUUGCCUGUCUCGCAGUUUCCCUUCCCUGUUGUUGGAGGAACGUAAUGAGGGUAAGAAAGGAAGGGGUCUCCAGAGAGAUGUAAUGGCUAUUUCUAAGCCAUUUUUAAAAUAAGCUUCAGAUGAUCAAAAGUUCGAGGUCAGAGGAUAAUUUAGGCCAUCAGAAGUUGGCCAGAUUGGAGUUAGGUCCUCUAGAGAAUUCUGUCCUUUGGCAGUCAAAGACAGUGAUGGACGCCAAGCCAGGCCUGUGAUUUGGGCACAGGUCCAGGCUCUAGCCCCCUCUGGAGCCGGGCUCGGAUCUUCACAAGGAGCUCUGCAGCAAGCAGGGUCUGUGCUUGAACAUACGCUUUUAAUCAGAGUCGCUGGAACCUGGAUGGGGCCUCAAACAUAAUUUAAUUCAGUCCUCUCACUUUGCAGAUGUAGAAAUUGAAGGCCAGAUUGAAGGGUGGGCUAUGGAAUGCUUGCACAAGGUCAUCUGUCAAUUUAGGGAACAGCAUGGUAAGGUGAAAAGGGAUCGCUUUGGUGUCAUUGCUGGGUUCCAAAUCCCCGCUCUGCCGCGUAUUAGCUAAGAGACCCCAGGUAAGUCACUUGACCUCCCUGACUAUCAAUGUCCCAGUGUGUAAAGUCGGGACCAUAAUUACAAUGCCUGAAUCACUGGAUUGCUAUCAUUAAAUAAGAUGAAAAAUAAGAAAGUGAUUUGUAAACAGGAAGUCACUUUUCAUACCACAAUGUUAAUAUUAAAUUAUAAUAAAACCCAACCCAAUAAAAGCAGUCCACUUUUCUGAAUGCCCACCACAUGCCAAGUGCCAAGUACUUCACAUACCUUGUUUCUUUUAAUUCACACAAUGAAUGACCCGAGGAGAACGCUCAACUAACAACCAUGUACUUGAACCAGGGGUUUAAAUCAGUCAUACACACAGCAGGAUUUAAAUACUAUCUUCCACAUGGUACCUUCAGAAACGUGGGCCUGGGAUUUCAUUCAUGGGAUACACAUGGCUCCCCCCCCCGUACCCCCUGCCCCCUCUGUAUUGAGUGGGUGGCUCUCACCUGUGGAGGGCAGGGUGCUCUCAUGUUUGUUUAUACCAGAACAUAGAAUAGAACUUGGUAAAGGUAAAUGCUCAUUUAAGAAAUAAAAAUACAUCAAAUAAAGUAAAAAGCAACCUGGUAGAUAGCAUUUCCUUUUCAUUUUUUUAAAAUAGCUUUAUCGAAGGAUAAUUGAAUGGAAAUGGUCAUUAAUAUAUAUCCAGAAUCUAUUAACGUUCGGCUAAGUUGGGGGGAACAUAGGGAUGUUUUAAGGCAACUAAGCGAUUUAGAAAACUUAAGUUCUUUAAUGUUUUCAAAGAAAAGGUUGAGUCUGUAAGAUAUAAUCUGGCAAUUUGUAUAGAACUCUUUCUACUAGCUUCCAGGAAUCCCUGCUCUGUGAGCUUUUUGCCAAACUGAUUGAUCUUCCCAGACAUAAUCUGGGGACCUUCUCUAAUAUGCCCCUGUCCCGCUGUCAGCUUAAUACACUCUUUUGCUAAGUAAUAGGGUAUUGCUAGUGUUCUUCCAGGUUCUCUUCAUAAAGGCGCUUCUCUGUCAAUAAGAGACUGUGUUUAUAUUCUUGUGCACAAAUAACUGGCCCUCUUCUCAGUGUUUGAGAUCCCUCAUCUUGCUCCGACUGUUGCAGCCUUUUCUCGCCAUGACAGACUGCCAUACUACAUGGCCUUCUCCCAUCGAAAGGGUCUAGCAUGUGGACCACUGAACUGCCAAGGAAGCAGUCCAACUGCCCUGAGGCUGCCAUGCUGUGAGGAAACCCAAAGUGGUCCAUAAAGAAGGAUUAUGUGGAGGGACCCUGAAAGAUGCCUGGCCUGCCUCCCACUGCUCCAGUACCCUCCUCCCCAACUCUUCCAGCUUCAGCCACUGUCUGCAACCACAUGAGAGCUCCCGAGCCAUAAAUGCCCAGCCUAGUCUCCCCUAAGUUUCUAACCCACAGUUUAAACUACUAAGCUUGGGUUGCUUUGUUAUGCCUCAAUAGCAACUGGGACAUGCCCCUUUCUCCAUUCUGCUGCUGAAUCUGGUUACAGCAGCAGAGACACAUGCCAGGGGCAUCUCUAGUAACAGGGGAAAGCCCUUUGGGAGUAGAUUCAAAGUGGGGGGUCAAGACAAAUUAUUCAGCGAGCCUGACUUUUAGAACUCAAGGGGCACCAAGUGUGGUUGGUGGGAGCAAUGCCCUGGAUGGAUAAGCCAAGCUCUUGUGUCCUGGCAGAUAAACAAGGUGAACCCUCAAUCCGUGUAGCAGGAGUUUCCAGACAAACUCACUUUGCAUGGAAGGACACUAACCCUUCCAGGUGCAUGGAAAUAUUUUGUAGUUUUUACUGUCUCCCCCUUCCUCCACUGCCUCAUCUUUUUUGUUUUUUCCCCUGUGAGACUAUUUGCUCUGCAUUUCAGAUGUGUCUAAUUUUGUGGAAAGGAGAAGGUUGGGAGCUCCGGAGCUAAUAGGAUGCACAGGAGGAAGAUACGGAGCACAGUGGCUGAGACCUGACAGCUCUCUGAAGACUCCACUUCACCGCCGCCACUCCACUUCACCGCCGCCAGCCCUGGCCCACACCUUUCUUAAGAGCAACUUAAGAAAUUUGCAACUUCAAAACCAGACCAGAGGGUGAGAAGAACUAGCCAACCCAUCCUCCAAGUGUGACUGAGCGGUCAGGCUGCCCCCACCUCAUUUGAGUGAGACCGCCAAGAGCCUUCACGUGGGACCUAGACCACAGGAACACAAUUAGGAAGUACUCCCUGCCCCUCACAACGGCCAUCCUCACCAGGCAGCGGGGACAGAAGGGAGGCAGGUGCAUUCAAAUCGCGCUGGCCUGAAGAAGGGAAAUGAAGCGCUAAACUCAGCUCGGUCCCACAAUGAGUCAGAAUGGGGGCAGGGAGGAGCGCCCAAAGCCCUCUGGCCCUUCUCCUUGGGAACUAGUCCUGCACAUGGCCACCAGCCCUGGGAAUCACAGCAUUUGGCAUGGGUCUCAGUUCUUGUACUCCAUUGCUGUGGGACAAGAGACACUAAACUUCCAGGUUUUCUCUCAAUAGCUGGCUUCACCUGUAAACACAGUGGCAUAUUAGACAAGCUCUCUUCAUCUGAAAUGUGCCCACCCCCCCAACAAUCCCACCUUUGCCUGCUCAAACCUGACUCAUGCUUCAUGUUCAUAUUCAACUUCUUCCCUUGUGCUUCUAACUAAAUCUAGGAAUCUCCUUGUUCUUAGAACCACCUUUAUCCCUUCUCAGAUAUUUAUGUAUAUCAGUUUUUAAAUGAAAAUAAUUUCUCACCUAUUAAGCUGGGCACCCUGCUAAUCACUUUCACACUUGCUGUUUAAUUUGCUGUUUUGCUCCCUAAUAUUAGACAAAAACUCCUUGAAAACAGAGACUGUGUCUGACUCAUCGCUCCUUCCCCCACCAGGCACUAUCCUCUCAACAGUUACUGGAUUAAUAAUUUUUUAAAAAAUUUUAAAAAACUAUUUUAAAAAAAUAUAAAUUAGUAAAAACUGUGGCAUUAGCAUGAAAUGACUAAUAUGUUCAAGUUCCACUUGAGGAAGUUAGGGUGAUGUCAGUGAAAACCUGCCCUUAGAGGAUCCCUGCCUGCAUGAGGGACUCUGGGACUGCAAAGU
rnacentral:lncRNA from 1 species